rnacentral:rRNA from 1 species
CCUACGGGAGGCAGCAGUGGGGAAUAUUGCGCAAUGGGCGAAAGCCUGACGCAGCGACGCCGCGUGAGGGAUGAAGGUCUUCGGAUCGUAAACCUCUGUCAGCAGGGCAGAACGGUCACUGUGCUAAUCAGCAGUGAAUUGACGGUACCUGCAAAGGAAGCACCGGCUACCUCCGUGCCAGCAGCCGCGGUAAUACGGAGGGUGCGAGCGUUAAUCGGAAUUACUGGGCGUAAAGCGCUCGUAGGCGGUAUGUCAAGUCAAGGGUGAAAGCCCCGCGCUCAACGUGGGAACUGCCUUUGAAACUGGCAAACUGGAGUGUGUGAGAGGAUAGUGGAAUGCCAGGUGUAGGAGUGAAAUCCGUAGAUAUCUGGAGGAACAUCAGUGGCGAAGGCGACUAUCUGGCACAUAACUGACGCUGAGGAGCGAAAGCGUGGGUAGCAAACAGGAUUAGAGACCCCAGUAGUC